rnacentral:rRNA from 1 species
CCCUUAGAUGUUCUGGGCCGCACGCGCGCUACACUGAUGCAUUCAACGAGUCUAAAACCUGCUCUGAUAGGGGUGGGUAAUCUUUUGAAUGUGCAUCGUGAUUGGGAUAGAUGAUUGCAAUUUUUCAUCUUCAACGAGGAAUGCCUAGUAAACGCAAGUCGUCAGCUUGCAUUGAUUACGUCCCUGCCCUUUGUACACACCGCCCGUCGCUCCUACCGAUUGAAUGAUCCGAUGAAUAUCAUGGAUUGAGGAUGCAAGCAGGUUCGCCUGUCUUCAUCUUCGAGAAGUGAAGUAAAUCUUAUCAUUUAGAGGAAGGAGAAGUCGUAACA